ACACAGGGUCCGCCACCAGCACCACGAUCAGCCCACAUAACUCAGAAUCCGCCACACUGGAUCCAACACUGCUACCCCCGGUGCGCGAUCCACAAACCGCAAUCCAUGGUGCGGCCACAGAGGCCCUGGAUCUGCGGGUGAUAAAGCAAAGGGAUUCAAAAUGACCGGCGGAGCGAGGCCGGAUUCCUGUACACAAUGACUCACUGCACAUUACGCUGAGACUCGCUGAAAGUCCGUAUUUGCAGUGCGGAAAAACGACUUCAUUGUACCUGCCUGUACUAUGACUUACUAAGACCCACUAUGAGCCAGUAUGACGGAGCUUCCAGUUCAUCCAUACGGACCUUGCAUCAGCAUUGAGGAGUUCACGAGUCGGCAGAGAAGAAAGAGGCUGAUUGAAGCGGGACAGAUGAAAUGGAUCCAUCCUUCCACAGCCAGGAGCUCACUGACCUGUGUGCCACACUUCAAAUAAGACUAGAGGCUACACUGGAUGUCACAGCUACACACCACAGAUGUCUACACACUGGGGCAGAUUCGGACAGAGUCCCACAAAGAACAUAUGACCCAGAGGCUGCAAAGAGACAUUUCAAGCUUAACCUGAUUAGCUUUUCACUGGCUAUGCUAGUUGUGUUUGUACAAUAUUUGUGCUGUAUGUAAAUAAAGUUUUGACUCAA